rnacentral:rRNA from 1 species
UAAUACGUAGGGGGCAAGCGUUGUCCGGAUUCACUGGGUGUAAAGGGCGCGUAGGCGGGAUAGCAAGUCAGUGGUGAAAUCUUGCAGCUCAACUGCAAAACUGCCAUUGAUACUGCUGUUCUUGAAUGUGGAAGAGAGAGGCGGAAUUCCAGGUGUAGUAGUGAAAUACGUAGAUAUCUGGAAGAACACCAAUUGCGAAGGCUGCUUCUUGGUCCAUUAUUGACGCUGAGGCGCGAAAGCGUGGGGAGCAAACAGGAUUAGAUACCCUGGUAGUCCACGCUGUAAACGAUGAGUGCUAGAUGCCGGAUUUUUUCGGUGUCGCAGCUAACGCAUUAAGCACUCCACCUGGGAAGUACGAUCGCAAGGUUGAAACUCAAAGGAAUUGACGG